GCCGCCGCCGCAUUCCUGACGCCGAGCCCUAAACGCUUCUACUCUCCUCGGUCCUCGCCCACCCGCCUCUCCCUUUCCCAUCUCCCUUGCCUUCGCCAAACCCUCAGAGAUGGCCUCGACCUGCUUCCGCGCCGCCGCCCGCGCCGCCACCGCGGCAUGCCGCUCGGCGGCCUCCCGCUCCAUGCCCUCCGUCGGCCGCUCCGCCGCCCGCCGCGCCCCGCUAAUCUCCAGGGUGCCGCUGGAGCUGGGGUGCUGCGCGGGAAUGUCGCUGCUGCCGCUGCACAGCGCGGUGGCCGCGGCGAGGCUGACUUCGCGGCUGAGCACGGCGUCCCGGAGCUCCUCCGCUCUCUCUCAGGGUAUCCUCUGUCGCACCUAUCCCGGACUUUAACAUCGUACCAUCGAUGAAGCUGUUGUCUGUCUUUUCGGUUUGGGCACAUGAGUUGCUAGUUCUUGAAAGAUGAAAAUGAUGAUACGUGAAACAUUUACACAAUGUCUUAAGAGAUGGGUCUCUCUGCUCCAAGGUGAUAAAACGCGGGAAGACCUGCUCGUGUCGUGCAAUCAGUCUGAUAGAAUUUGUAGAGUAGUGAACUAAAUGAACUUCUUUUGGUACGGAGUAAUUUAUUUGUGACACGUACAAUCAUGGUUCUGCUGGGCCUUUCCAAGUUUUGAGAUCAUAUCUUUUAUCUUGAUAUAAAUAUGCAAGGACAAAUUGCAGAGUGAUGGCUGUGUUUGUUUACAACAGUUCUGAAUGCCAUUUAUAUGGUAAUGAUCGAUGAGAAACGAGUUUAAUAAUGCA